CGGUAAAUAAUUUUUGUAGCGUAAAAGCUAAAUAAAUUCAUACAUACUAUAAUACAGAUAACCAAAGUAUAAGAUUUAAUUUACAGUGACACGUGGGCCCAUGAACGACCAAAAGUAUCAAAAGCGGUAAACCUACAGUUGUUGAGGAUGCAAGUCCAACUGUAGCCCUCAACAAAGUGAGCUAUCUACCGACUAUCCUAAGCCUGAAAUGGGUGGAAAGGAGGGUGGUGAGAUUAUAUAAUCCCAGUGAGUAAACAAAUACCAUCUAAAAUAUCUACAGCUGAGUAAAUGGAGACAGAUUAAAAUAGAUCAUCAUAAUGUAAUUCAUCACCUUUCAACUCAUUUCAACCAAAUAAAAUUAAUUCAUAUAAAUUGAGUAAUCAACGUGGCUUAUGAAUUUUUUAAGACUUUGACUCGUGCCAAAAUCAUUCUCAUACUCAGUUAUCAGGGAUACCUUGGUUGAGGGCUAUCCCAACCGAGUGCGCCAAGGCUAUUAAAAAGUUAUGUACUCAUAAAUCUUGUUUUUAUUUUAAAAACAUAGUCGUUCCUUGGCGUUGGCUAAGUUUACCCUCACGUGGUGGUUUGGCGUGAAGUGAACUCUAAAGUGUUAACCUCAGGACUUAUCCAUCCACGCCUCUCAUAUUGAGGUAAGAAUAUAAUAAAGUUACCAUGCCCCCUCUAAUAGGCUAGUCCGCGGAACCCGUCCACUGCAGCAACUAAUGAAUAACCCACCAAUUUAAUAAAAUUUAAUGGCAUGACAUGGCAAUUUUAUCAUUAUCCAGCCUAUCAAGGCAAACAACAAUUUAUACAUUUUCAACAUAAAUACCAAUUCAACCAUUCAUGCCAAUAUUAUCAUAAGCCAUUCAAUUCAAACCAUGAUAUAUAACACAGCAAUUAGUCUCCAAUUACUCCAUUUUCAAAACCAUCAUUCAAUUUCAAGACAAUUUAUAUAAUCAUUUCAUUUAAACACAUUUUGUUUAUAAAACCUAAAGAUUUACCAUUCAAACACAUUUUUCUAUAAAAUCACAAAAACGAAUAAAAACUACUAUAGAUAAUUAAGACGAUAGUAAGGUUACUCACUAUUUCGGGAGUCAAAUUUCGAGUACUCCGAUUCUUGAUCCUCGGGUACUAUCUCUUUACUUUUGCCAGAAUGCUCACCACCUAGAUAUAAUGCACAAUAAACCAUUUGUUACAUUUGUGCUAAAUUGUUAUAAAACCAAUUCAAGCUCUAUACUAACACAUGAAAUGGGAUGUGAAAUACUUAGGUAACUAUCUAAAUACGGUGUUCAUUAUAAAUUCAAUUAUAUACCUAAAUAAAACGGCAUUGGCUUAAUUCGAUCUAUCACCCGAUUAAUUGGCCAAUACGUCCAAUUCAACUCCAAAUAAUUCCAUUUUUCUCCCAAUAUUCCAAAUCAUCAAACACAAAUUAAAUAACUUGAAAUAUGACAAAAUCAUCCUCACAUUUUCUCUUGGAAAAUUCGGCCAUGGUGGGUGCAUCAACACUAUGAUUUUUCCUACUUGAUUCUCACACCAUAAAUCACUAAUUCCUAACUAAAUCACUUGAAAUAAAAUAAAAAAUCAUCCUCAAUAUUCCACAUGGAGAAUUCGGCCAAUGAUGGGUGAUGGAAGAACAUGAAUUUUUCUUGCCUGAUUUUCAUGCUACACAUCACGAAUCAACUAAAAACACUAAAAUACAUUUAAAUCUAACCAAAUCAAGCAUCAAAACCUCUCUCUAAGUGUUCAACUAGCAAGAUACCUGCCAUGAAAUCAUGUGAUUCAACCAUGGAAAAUGCAAAAGAAUGUAUGGGAAAGGUAGAUCACAAGUCAAAAUCAAGAAAUUUUACCUUUGAUUGCUUGAUUACUUGAAAUCCACCAAUUUUCUCUUGAAUUUUCACCCUAGGGUUCUUGUUCUUUCUUUUCUUCCUUUGUUCUUG
rnacentral:lncRNA from 1 species